GAUGAACGCUGGCGGCGUGCCUAAUACAUGCAAGUCGAGCGAACGGACGAGAAGCUUGCUUCUCUGAUGUUAGCGGCGGACGGGUGAGUAACACGUGGAUAACCUACCUAUAAGACUGGGAUAACUUCGGGAAACCGGAGCUAAUACUGGAUAAUAUUUUGAACCGCAUGGUUCAAAAGUGAAAGACGGUCUUGCUGUCACUUAUAGAUGGAUCCGCGCUGCAUUAGCUAGUUGGUAAGGUAACGGCUUACCAAGGCAACGAUGCAUAGCCGACCUGAGAGGGUGAUCAGCCACACUGGAACUGAGACACGGUCCAGACUCCUACGGGAGGCAGCAGUAGGGAAUCUUCCGCAAUGGGCGAAAGCCUGACGGAGCAACGCCGCGUGAGUGAUGAAGGUCUUCGGAUCGUAAAACUCUGUUAUUAGGGAAGAACAUAUGUGUAAGUAACUGUGCACAUCUUGACGGUACCUAAUCAGAAAGCCACGGCUAACUACGUG
rnacentral:rRNA from 1 species